AAGAAGGGUUCCUCGCGGGAACUUAGUUCUCAUACGGUGAAACUACUCCUCGUAAGCUGCGUGUCUCUGACUUCCUCCUUCCUCCUUGCUCGUUGCCUAUUUCCUUGCGCCCUUGUGUUUUCCCUGAUCCCUGUUUCUCCUGCUCUUCCCACAGUGUCGUGUCACCACCACCGCUGCUUCCCUCCUGGCCCCCAUUUUGCCUUCCUGGAUCCCCGACCUCGUUUUUGGACUUUGGACUCGCUCUCCUGCUUUUGACCCCGCUUCCGCCUUGGACUUCCCUGCCUGCCUCGCCCUUGUCUGACAGCACCGUGUCUCCAACACCUUGAGAUCAUUGGAGACACAAUCUCAGAAACAAAAUAAAAAACAAAUGAUGUCAAGAUAAUACUUCAAUGGGAAAUACUGAAUCUCAUCUCGGAUGGCGACGAGUCCGCCUUCAGGAGAGAGGUGGACCGGCUGGCGUCCUGGUGCAGCCUCAACAACCUGGAGCUGAACGCCCAGGAAAGUCAAAGCCCCAACAUCCCCCCGCAGCCUGAUUGACUUUCCCACUCCCGUCUCCAUCGUGGACUCCAUACGUUUCCUUGGGCACCACCAUCACCCAAGACCUCAAGUGGGAGCCGACCAACAGCUCCCUCAUCAAGAAGGCCCAACAGAGGAUGUAUUUCUUGUGGCAGCUGAAAAAACUUAAGGUGCCGACCGAGAUGCUGGUGCAGUUCUACUCAGCCAUCCUCGAGUCCAUGUUUACCUCCUCCAUCACCGUGUGGUUCCCCGGCGCCACAGUCCGGGACAAGUAUCGACUGCAACGCAUGGUACGUCCUGCUGAGAAAGUUAUUGGCCGCAAACGCCCACCCCCUCCAGGACCUGUUCUCCUCCGGGACCAGGAAGCGUGUGGGUGGGAUCACAGCUGACUCUUCUCACCCUGGUCACAAACUAUUCUCCCCUCUCUCCUAAGGCAGGAGACUACGGUCCAUCCAGACCCACACCUGAACAUUUUUUUCCCCCCUCAGGCCAUCAGGCACAUGAUCAAUAACAAGAUCUGAUAGCUCAGUUACAGCUCAUCUUAAUAUUACCUAUUCUGUGUUAUGUGGUAAAUGCUGCACCGUUGCACCAAGAAAAAUUCCUAGUUUGUCAACCUGUUCUAAAACAAUGGCAAUAAAAACUAUUCUGAUUCUGA